rnacentral:rRNA from 1 species
CGCGGCCUAUCAGCUUGUUGGUGAGGUAACGGCUCACCAAGGCAUCGACGGGUAGCUGGUCUGAGAGGACGAUCAGCCACACUGGGACUGAGACACGGCCCAGACUCCUACGGGAGGCAGCAGCGGGGAAUCUUGCGCAAUGGGCGAAAGCCUGGCGCAGCAACGCCGCGUGGGGGAUGAAGGCCCUCGGGUCGUAAACCCCUUUCAGCAGGGACGAAACUGACGGUACCUGCAGAAGAAGGACCGGCCAACUACGUGCCAGCAGCCGCGGUAACACGUCGGGUCCAAGCGUUGUCCGGAUUCAUUGGGCGUAAAGAGCUCGUAGGCGGUUUUGUAAGUCGGGUGUGAAAACUCAGGGCUCAACCCUGAGACGCCACCCGAUACUGCAAUGACUCGAGUCCGGUAGGGGAGCAUGGAAUUCCUGGUGUAGCGGUGAAAUGCGCAGAUAUCAGGAGGAACACCAGUAGCGAAGGCGGUGCUCUGGGCCGGUACUGACGCUGAGGAGCGAAAGCGUGGGGAGCGAACAGGAUUAGAUACCCUGGUAGUCCACGCCGUAAACGUUGGGCACUAGGUGUGGGAUUCAAUCAACGGAUUCCGUGCCGUAGCUAACGCAUUAAGUGCCCCGCCUGGGGAGUACGG